UGACUUUAGUUCUUAUUUAGGUGCAAGCUAUAAUGUUUUCUUACUCUUCACUCUUCAGUGAUGAUUGCUCUACUUUUGCAUAACAUGAUUAAAGAAAAGCAUAAGAACUAACCCAUUUACAUAUAGCCAGAAUUAGCAGCUCAUAUCUAAUUCUUUCCCACUCUUUCUGCUGUGGAAUGUGAACCAAAGUGAUUCCAGAACCUUUCAAUUUCUGAUUACUGCUGCGCUUCUAGUGUGUCUUGUUUUAAUUCAUUUGUUUAUUUUCUUCGCAAAAUUGCAGUGAAGCAAGAAAAUCUUCUAACAAGCCAGCGCCUAGCAAAUUGCUUGACAACCUCAUCUACAAUUAUAGUCCCUCUUUUGCUGGGAAAGCUGGGGGUAGUUUUGACGAGGUCUACCUCUUCUCUCCGCGUCCCGCCUUGAGCUCUCUGUAGAUGCCAGUGAACUGCUAAAGCAUUGAAUGUUCUAAGCUUAUACAUGAGAAAGAUGCCAUGCGAAUGUUGUUCAUGGUUCGGUUUGGUCUUCAAUCUCCAGUUAUCCAGCAACUCCGACAAGCGAAUCUUUAUACCACUUGUAUGAUGAUUGUUUGCUUAUAAUUCCGCUGCCCAAAUAGGUUCCAAACAUGGCUGGUUUUUUUUUUUUUAACCCUUCCCUACUUAGGAAGAUCUAUAUUAUUUUCACACUUACCCUCCAGCGUGACUCGAACCCAGGACCUAGUGGUCGUGGGUGGAGGUGCUUUUACCAAUUGAGCAAGCCUCACUUGUCCAAACAUGGCUGAUUCAAUGUUGUUUUUCUCGUGCAGUUGUUUGGUAUGUCACCAGAAAGAUUUCAAGCACACAGUUAUGUAUUUCACGGCUUGUUUGCAUAUAUGACAAGAUAUGAAAAGAAUUAUUUUUCAUUUUA